AAAUUGAAGAGUUUGAUCAUGGCUCAGAUUGAACGCUGGCGGCAGGCCUAACACAUGCAAGUCGAACGGUAACAGGAAGCAGCUUGCUGCUUCGCUGACGAGUGGCGGACGGGUGAGUAAUGUCUGGGAAACUGCCUGAUGGAGGGGGAUAACUACUGGAAACGGUGGCUAAUACCGCAUAACGUCGCAAGACCAAAGAGGGGGACCUUCGGGCCUCUUGCCAUCAGAUGUGCCCAGAUGGGAUUAGCUUGUUGGUGAGGUAACGGCUCACCAAGGCGACGAUCCCUAGCUGGUCUGAGAGGAUGACCAGCCACACUGGAACUGAGACACGGUUCAGACUCCUACGGGAGGCAGCAGUGGGGAAUAUUGCACAAUGGGCGCAAGCCUGAUGCAGCCAUGCCGCGUGUAUGAAGAAGGCCUUCGGGUUGUAAAGUACUUUCAGCGGGGAGGAAGGUGUUGCGGUUAAUAACCGCAGCAAUUGACGUUACCCGCAGAAGAAGCACCGGCUAACUCCGUGCCAGCAGCCGCGGUAAUACGGAGGGUGCAAGCGUUAAUCGGAAUUACUGGGCGUAAAGCGCACGCAGGCGGUCUGUCAAGUCGGAUGUGAAAUCCCCGGGCUCAACCUGGGAACUGC
rnacentral:rRNA from 1 species